UCCCUCUCCCCUUUCCUGCUGUGUCGCACUUCUCUUUCUCUUCCCAUAAGUCGUACUUCUCUGCUCCCUUUCUCAUUUGUCUUUCACUUUCUCCAACAUGUGGUUGUCUGCUUCUGACGCAUGGCACAUAACGAAACUUGAUGAUGUUUUUCUGGAGACUUCUUCGUCUGGACAGGACAUAUGGUGGAAAUGGGACAUGACCCAAGUCAUUCUCAAACCUGGGUCUCAACAACUCUUAUGCUCAGCCUGAUACUCCGCUGCUAACAUUAAAUAAUAUUUUCCACUUGAAUGAAACAGUGUCUUCAUAACUCAUCAUCACCAAACCGCUCUACACUGACCGGAUCAGGACAGGUCAAGCAGCUGGAGGCAAGGAAAUCUGACCUUUUGUUUAAAGCAGUUCACAUGGUCAAUGCUACAAGAUUAGUGACCUAUAAAUAUGCAGUAUAUCAUACUCAAUUCAUGCCAUAAUAUUUUACAUCGCUACCACAAACCACUCGAAUCUAGAUUCAGAUUCCUUAUGUUCGCUGCAGUUCCAACAUUUUUUGGACCACAGUAUAUUUUGGCCGGUGUGAUAAUGCGUUUAGCUAUUUUUGAAUGUGUUUGAGAUCACUCAGCAGUUUCAAGAUGGCCAAAAACAGUCUGCAGAUUCUGUCUGGACCUGCUUAUGACUCCUGGCCCGGUUUUAUGGUAUUAAUACUGAGGUCUGAUUUCAUUGAGGUCUUUUUUUCUGAAUGAUAAGUGCAUGCGAUGGGGAAAGAACCUGUCAAUGUUUGUGAAUUUCCCUGCCGCUGCUUACUAGCGGUUUCACACUUCACACAGCAGACAUGCGGUUUAGCAUUUUUUUACGAUUAAUAGUACAGCGUGUUCUUUAAAACAUGCGCUACUCCAAUCACAGAUGCAUACGUGCGACCCCGAUGAGGAAGUGAAUCUAUUGACGAGGCAAACAUGGUACAGACUGAUCUAGAAGCGUUCUUGCCAUCUUCCUGCCACUCACCUCAUUUAUUGCUUGCGCACGUAGCAUGUUUUCUUACAUUGUGUACUGUUGUGGCUUUAAACCUCAAGUUUGUUCUAUUAUCAUUUCUGUUGUAAACAAUCUGCACGUUUGUUUAUGCAUGCUACAUGCUGAAAGAAUCGCCAACAGGUUUGCCAGAAAAAUCCAUUCACUUCCUUGUUUGAAAUGAUUAGGGAAAGAUUAGGAUGUUUUGUAAACUUGUGCUAAUGUGCAAGCAGGGCCUAAAA